UUCCUGAAUUGAAAAGGGUACUCAACCCUCCUACAGUCCAGAGCUCCUCUUUCUUUCUCCUGAACAAAUCAAGGAUGCAGACAGGCUUUCCCAAAAUGCGACCUGUUGAGGUGGCCGUGUCUAAUGCAAAGAAUUUAACCUCUGAUCACACAUCAUCUGAGCUCAACGGGAGGAUUCGGUUCUAACAAAGUUCAUUUCAUUGUUUAUCCUGAGUAAACAGUGCCCUGCAUGGUGUUUGAGCUACAAAUUUGUCUAAAGAGUGUUUGCAACUGGCUGAAGGAAGGCUAUCAGUUACUUUUUCUUGCUUGGGGACAGCAAGACCCCCAUCUUCUCUCAGGGAGACUGUUGAAUCAGCCCUGUCACGUGGAAAACUAGCUGACAGCUCUAAUCAGGACUUCUGGCUUCCUUCCUUCCCAGUUCCCUCCACCCGAGAGGGUGAACCAUUUGGGACCUGACUCCAGAACUGAAUGUAGCUCAUGUUGUGCCCUGCAGUCUCUUCAAACCACCGGAUAGACCCUAAACAGAACUGGCAGCAGCCAUCAAAGGAAAUUAAGUUUCCCA